CACAUCUAAUCUUCCUCACCCUAAUCCUUCCUUUUAAGGACAGAAAGCUUAAUCUGUUUAAAAAUUACAUGAUAUGUAAGAGAGAAGGUAAAAUACCACUUAGAUAAGGGAACACACAAUUUGGUCAUCUGGUUGCUGUGAUUAAACCUAGAGUAGUUAUCACCAUUAAUAUCUCUAGAUUUUAAAGAGUAUUUCUCUUAAAAAUAAUCAGCCACCCUAACGUCCAUUGCCAGUUUCCCUGCUCUGAAAUUCUGUGCUCAGCAUUUUUGCAGUAAAAGCAAUCCCUGCUUCUCGCGUCGUGCCGGGGCGGGGGUGGAGGGGUGUUGACAAUCACAACUCUCGUUCAGUGGUCUCAAAUUAAAGCUUCUCGGAAUAACCGAGGGACAGCUUGACCCUUUGAGAUACUCACCGACCACCCUCCAGGGAAAUAGUACUGUUUCCUUCCUGGGAACAAGAUGCUAGUGCCGUGCACCAGAAGGUAUCCUUUGUCAACAGCGCCAGAGCGCCCUCUGCUGCCCGAAAGAGGCAUGACAUCACUUACAAAAGCCAGAUGGCACUGAGCUGCAAUAAGCGGUGAAAAUAUUAAGCUCUUAGCAGCAUUUAAUCUGUGAAAUUUGAAAACUCUCAUCAUAUUGUAUGAAGGGACAACCUGAUUUUGAUUUCGAGUACUCCUCGGAUAAUUUUCUUCAUUCUGGACGUUAGUGUAAAAAUGUUCUGAAGGUUUCAGUCUGUUAAAUUAUUUCUGUAGUUACAAUUCUGCAUCCUUUCCUUCUUAAAUUUUAUAUGGAAAUACAAAAUUGCAAAUUGAAUUUAAAGCCUUUGUGGUGAAUAGAUGAUUAAAGAAGACUUUUCCUAGUUUCUCUAGUUACUAAGAUCUAAUAAAGGAAAAAUAAUUAAAGAUAUCAAGCAUAGGUUGUAUAAUUUUUUUUAAGAUAAAGUUUUAAAAAUUAAGGACUGAGAUAAAUAAUUGUUUUCUGGUUUGGACAAUUGACCUCAAUCUUUCUCAGGCUUUUACUUUCAGAAUUAGAAAUUGAGUUAUCCCUGAGGAAGAGAUUGAAACUUGCUUCACACUAAUAUGUACACUCUACCUGUGAAAUCUUUGUAGUGAAUGUAUAUGGAUAUUUAGUUUGCAAAGAGUUAAUCAUAACAGAGUCCACUCUGAGCAGAAAUGAUCAGAUAUGGUCUCAGCAUAGGCGAUUCAUCAGUUACUUGCACCAAAGUAACUGCACUGUUACUUCCACUAAAAAUGAGUUUUUUUUAAAGUUAAAAAUCCUUUAAAAUUUUUAUGAAAUAUAGGGUGUAUAUUAACUAAAAUUAGUAUACAGCUGUAUUCAUUCAAUGUUGUGAAUUUCAAAAUUACAUCCUAUUUCUAAACACACACACAUUUUUG
ensembl:lncRNA